ensembl:lncRNA
CCUUUGGUAAGCAUAAAUUUGCUUUCUAUGUGAGUCUAUUUCUGUUCUGUAAAUAAGUUCAUUUGUAUCAUUUUUUAAAAUUCCAUGGGACUUCCCUGGUGGUCCAGUGGCUAAGACUUGGAGCUUCCAAUGCAGGAGGCCGGGGUUCAGUCCCUGAUCAAGGAACUAGAUCCCACGUGCUACAAAUAAGAGUUUGCACACUGCAACUAAAGAUCCAUGAUCCCAUGAGCCACAACUGAGACCCAGCACAGCCAAAUAAACAAAACACAUAUAUAAGUGAUACGUGUGAUAUCUGUCUUUCUCUGACUUAUUUCACUUAGUAUGAUCAUUGCUAGGUCCACCCAUGUUGGUGCAAAUGGCAUUAUUUCACCUUUUUUACAGCCGAGUAAUAUUCUACUGUGCGUAUGUACCACAUCUUUAUCCAUUCAUCUGUCGACAUUUAGGUUGCUGCCUUGUCUUGGCUAUGUCAGUGGUGCUGCUAUGAACGUUGGAGUGCGUGUAUUUUUUUCAAGUUAGUUUUCAUCUUCUGCGGCAUAUCCUCACUUUUUGUCUGGUUGGAGUACCAGUUGCUAAGAAGGAUGCUGUAAAAAUCUCCUACUUUGGUGAUGUAGUUACCUAAUGUAAGGUAUUUUAGAUACCCCGCCCUCCAUUUCAGGUCUUCAAAUUCUUUGGAGCAUUUUACAUCAAUAGCACAUUUCAAUUCACAGUAUAUACAUGUUUGAGUACUUCUGUCGAUUUUUGCUUUAUUUAUUGUGACACUGUCAUAUUUUCAUGACAAAGACUGAGUUAUACCUAGUAAGGCUUCCUACAUUAAAGUCUAUGCAGUCCAGGAUUUCCUUGGUGGUCCAGGGGUUACAACUCCGUGUUUUCUCUGCAGGGGGGCAGAUUCCAUGCCUGGUUAAGGAACUAAGAUUCCACAUACUGCAUUGCACAGCCAAAAAAAAAUAGUCUAUGCCAUCCAAUAAUAAUAGACUUAAACUUUCUUUCUGGCUGUUGACAUCCUUUAUUGGCAACUUGUUACACUGUGUAAGUUUAAAUGCAAGCAAUAUGUUUCUGGAUUUUAAUUUUUCUUAGCCAGCCAGAAAAUAUUUGUCUUUUAAUUCAAGUAUUAUACAGACCCCCUGGAGGAGGGAAUGGCGACCCACUCCAGUGUUCUUGUCUGGGGAAUCCCAUGGACAGAGGAGCCUGGCGGGCUACAGUCCAGAGAGUUGCAAAGAGCUGGGCAUGUCAGCAGGCACACUCCCCCACACCGUACUGGUGCUGUCCAACAGCAAUGUAAAGUGUGCCAUCUCUCUAAUUUAAGUUUUUCUAGCAGCCACAAUCAAAAGAUGAACAAAAUGGUGAAAUUCAUUUGAAUAACAUGUUUUAUUUAACAACAUAUCCAAAAUGUUAUCACCUCAAAAAAGAAUCAAUAUAAGAUAAGGAAUAUUUCACUUUUUCAAAAAUCCCAGGUCUCUAAAUUUGGGGGUGCAUUUCACACUAACAGCACACCUCAGUUCAGACCAUCCCCAUUUCAAAUGCUCAGUUGUGACGUACGGCUUGUGGCACUGUAUGGACUCAUGUAGAUUUAGACUAUCUACAUUAAUUGCAGUUCCUAAUGUGUUUGGAUUUAUUAGGUACUUUCUGGUGGCCCCUAAGUUGCUAUAUUUCUUUUUCUCAGCUUCCUUGACUUGUUUGGAAUUUUGGUCAUUCCAUUUUUCUCUGACACUUAAUUUAGAAGUUACACAUCCUAUUUCUGUUCUUUUGGAUAUUUUCUGAGACAUUUUAUCUUUUAAUUAAUUUUUUAUUGACAUGUAGUUGAUUUACAUUGUUGCAUUAGCUUCUGUAGACACUUUAAUUUAGAAAGGCAAUCUAUCAAACGUCUGUCCUUAUUCAGUCUUUAUCUCCAAAAGCCUCCAAAAUGCUCUGCCCGCUUCCACUCUCGCCCCCUACAGGCCAUUCUCCAUAGAGCAGCUAACAUGAGAUUUUUGGUAAACGUUUUUUUUUUUAAUAUGUAAAAUGUACAAAAUCAUGUAAAGACAUCUGUUUAACCAAAAACAUUUUAGGAUUAAAAAAGUCUUUUUAAACUAUUUCAUAAAUGAAAAUUACUAAUCAAAGGGAACAAAAGUCAACUCAAGUAUCACAGAGAAGCAAAGAGUAACCAAAUUGUAAAUUCACCUUUUAAAAACAUUGUUUAAACUCUUUAAAAAGUUGUUAAACAUUUAAACAAAUGUCCAUCAACAGAAGAGUGGAUAAAGAAGAUGUGGUACAUAUAUACAGUGGAAUAUUACUCAGCCAUUAAAAAGAAUAAAAUAAUGCCAUUUGCAGCAACAAUGGAUGGAUCUAGAGAUUAAAACACUGAGUGAAUUAAGUCAGACAGAGAAAGAGAAAUAUCGCAUGAUAUCAUUUAUACGUGGAAUCUAAAAAGAAGAGAUACACAAAUGAACUUAUUUACAAAACAGAAACAGACAGACUUAGAGAGCAAGCCUAUGGUUACAGGGCGGGGAUGAGGGGGUAGGUUUAGGGGGAGGCAUAGUUAGGGAGUUUGGGAUUGACAUGAACACACUGCUGUAAUUAAAAUGGAUAACCAGCAAGGAUCUACUGUAGAGCACAGAGAAAUCUGCUCAAUAUUCUACAACCAAAUUGGGAAAAGAAUUUGAAAAAGAACAGAUACUUGUAUAACUGAACUGCUUUGCUGUACACCUGAAAUUAACACACUGUUAAUCAGCUAAAUUCCAAUCUACAAUUAAAAGUUAAAAAACAAUUGCAUUUAUUUAAUUAACGUAGGACUAACAUACAAAACAGCCGUACAUGUUUAAUGUGUAUAUUUCUAUGAAUUUGAAGAUAAAUACCCUUAAAACCAUCACCAUAAACAAUGCUAUAAACUUACCAUCACCUCUAAAUGCUUCUUUUCUGUAUUUUUUGACAAUUUAAUAUAAGAUAUACUCACGUAGAAAAUGUUUAAGUAUACAAUACAGUAUUUUUAACUAUAUGCAUUAUGCUGUGCAUGCUGUUGCUUCAGUCGUGUCCAACUCUGUGACCCUAUGGACUGGGGUCAGCCAGGUUCCUCUGUCCAUGGGACUUCCAAGCAAUAAUACUGGAGUGAGUUGCCAUACCUUCCUCCAGGGAGUCUUCCUGACCCAGGUAGCCAACCUGUGUCUCUUAUGUCCCCUGCAUUGGCAGGUGGGUUCUUUACCCCUAGUGCCACCUGGGAAGCCCUCAUAAUGCUAUAUAGUAGAUCUUGGGACUUAUUCAUCUUCCAUAACUGAAACACUAUACCAGGUAAACAGUAACUCCCCAUUCUCCCUCCCUGAAUUCCUGGCACCCAUAAUUCUAUAUCCUGUCUAUAAAUUUGACUACAAAUCCCUCACAUAAGUGGAAUCAUACAGUAUAUGUCUUUCUGUGUCUGGCUUAUUUCAAGUAACAUUAUGACCUCCAAACUCAUCCAUGUUGUAGCAAAGGGCAGAACUUCCUUCUUUCUUAAGCCUGGAAAAGACUCUACUGUGUGUGUGUGUGUAUAUAUAUAUACAUACAUAUAUAUGUAAUAUUUCCUUUAUACAUUUAUUCAUUGAUGAUCACAUAGGUUGUUUCCAUAGCUUUGCUAUUGUAAAUAACUCAUCAAUGAAUGUAAAAGUACAAGUAUCUCUUUGAGAUCCUGACUCCAAUUAUUUUGAGUUUAUAUCCAGAAGCAGGACUGCUGGAUGGUAAGGUAGUUCCAGUUUUAGUUUUAUGAGGAGCCUCCAUACUGUCUUCCAUUUGGGCUGCACCAUUCUAUAUUCCCACCAACACACACACACUCCCUACCAAGCUAUUGAUUGGGAUUUCACUGAAUCUAUAGAUCAGUAGAUGUUGAUGUAGAAUUAAUGUUUUCAUGGGGACUUCCCUGGCAGUCCAGUGGUUAAGAUUUCGUGCUGCCAAUGCAGGGGGCACAGGUUCAAUACCUGGUCGGGAAACUAAGAUCCCAUGUGCCAUGCAGCAUGGCUAAAAAAAGAAAAUGUUUUAACCAUAUUGUCUUCCAAUCCAUGAUCACAGUAUAUUUUUCUGUUUGUUUAGAUUUUAAUUUUCUCAAUAAUGCUUUUUUAUUUGCAUUUGUGUUUAUUCUGUGUAGAAUUCUUGCACUGCUCUCAUUAGAGUCAAUCAUAGGUAUUUAAUGUUUUUUGAUAUGAUUGCAAAUGGCAUCAUUUUCAAAUGUCUUUUUCUAGAGUUGGUACCAGGAAACACAAUUGGUUUUUGUGUUUUGAUUUUAUAUCCAGUGACUUUGCUAUAUAAAUUAUAUAUUACAUCUGUGCAUAGAUUUUCUUCAGUUUUUUACAGAUACAAUAAUGUGAUCUGCAGAUGGUGACUUUUAUUUCUUCCUUUACAAUUCUUUUGCUAUAUUCUUUUGUCCUAUUGUACUGACUAGGACCUCCGGUGCAAUGUUAGUAAGAAGUGGUGACGUGUGUGUGCAUGCUAAGUCACUUCAGUCAUGUCCGACUCUUUGCAACCCUAUAAACUGUGGCCCACCAGGAUCCUCUGUCCAUGGGAUUCUCCAGGCAAGAAUACUGGAGUGGGUUGCCAUUUCUACUUCAGGGGAUCUUCCCGAUCCAGGGAUCAAACCCGCAUCUCUUACAUCUCUUGAUUUGGCAGGCAGAUUCUUUACCACUAGUGCCACCUGCUAAGCCAGAAAUGGUGACAGGAAUUCCAGUUUCACUACCCCACCCUUAAGUAUGUUUUUGCUUUAGAUAUUUUGUUGAUAUUCUUUAGCAGAGUAAGGGUGCUAUAUGCUUUCUGUGGUGCUGGAGAAGACCCUGGAGAGCCCCUUGGACAGCAAGGAGAUCAAACCAGUCAAUCCUAAAGAAAUCAACCCUGAAUAUUCAUUGGAAGGACUGUUGGUGAAGCUGAAGCUCCAGUACUUUGGCCACCUGAUGCAAAGAGCUGACUCACUGGAAAAGACCCUGACGCUAGGAAAGAUUGAAGACAAAAGGAAAAGGGAAUGGCAGAGAUAUCAUCACCAACUCAGUGGACAUGAAUCUGAGCAAACUCCAAGAGAUAGUGGAGGACAGGAGAGCCUGGCAUGCUGCAGUACUUGAGGUCACAAAGAAUCAGACAAGACUGAGCAACUGAACAACAAUAAUAUAUUUCUAGUUUGCUGCAAGUUUUUGUCAUUAAAAAUUGUUAAAUUUAUCAAAUGCUUCCUUUGCAUCACUUGAGAUAAUUUUAUUUUUCCUUUAUUAUGUUCAUAUGAUUAAUUACAAUAAUCGAUUUUUGAAUGUUAAACCAAACUUGCAUUCUUGGAAGAAACCAAUUUGGUCAUGAUUUACUACUCUUUUUACAUGUUACAAACACUUGCUCAAAUUCAUAAGAACUUUUGCAUGUGAGUUCAAGAGUAAGAUUGAUCUCUAACUUUCCUGUCUCAUACGUCUUUGCUGGGGCUUUAUUUCAAGGUUAUGCUGGUGUCACAAGAUGAAUUAAGAAAAGUUCUUUCUUAUUCAAACACAGGGAUAAUGUGUGUAAUAUUGGUGCUAUGUCUUCACUCUUAGCAGAAAUCACAGUGAAGUCAUCUGGGCUUGUAGUUUUCUUGGGGCCAGUUCUUAAUUACAGAGACACUUUUUAAAAUAUGUGUAAGAUUAUUUACAUUUUCUAUUUCUUUUGUUGGUUUGUUUUUAGUUAUGGCAUGCAAACUCGUAGUUGCAGCAUGUGGGAGAUAGUUCCCUGACCAGGCAUCAAACCCAGGUCUCCGGCAUUGAAAGCAUGGAAUCUUAGCCACCGGAUCACCAGGGAAGUCCGUGGGAGAUAGUUCCCUGGCCAGGCAUAAAACUCAGUCUCCUGCAUUGAAAGCAUGGAGUCUUAGCCACCGGAUCACCAGGGAAGUCCCUCUAUUUCUCUUUUUGCCCGUUUUAGUAAGUUGUUAUUUCUCUACAAAGGUCUCUGCUGCUCUUGCUGCUGCUGCUGCUGUGUCACGUCAGUCGUGUCCGACUCUGUGCGACCCCAUGGACAGCAGCCCACCAGGCUCCCCCAUCCCUGGGAUUCUCCAGGCAAGAAUUUUCAAAGUUAUUAAAAUAACGUUUUUAAAAAAUCCUCAUAUUUAAUGACUAUAAGACAUUAUGUAUGUAUGUAAGACAACCCUUUAUCUUUCCUAAUACUGGUUAUUGUGCUUUCUCUCUUUAUUUACUCAAUGUUGCCAGAAGAUUAUCCAUUUUCUUUAUCUUACCCAACAACUGGUUUUGUUGAUUUUAUGGAUUAUUUCUACUGCAGUUUUUUCCUACUUCAUUAACAUUUGUUCUUAUCUUUACUAUUUUCUCCUUUAUAUUUUCUUUGGACUUAAUUUGGUCUUUUUUUUAAAAGCUUCCUUAAGGUGCUUUAAAUUAUAGUUAAUUUUCAGUCCUUUUUUUCUAAUGCAUACAUUUAAGGCUAUAAAUUUCCCCAUAAGCAAAGCUUUAAACACAUCCAAAUUUUUCCAUGUUACAAUUUCAGUAUCAUUCAGUUCAAAAUAAUGCAGGACUUCCACUGUGAUUUAUUUAUUUAUUCUUUGGGUUGUUAAGGAAUAUAUUUCUUAAUUUCAAAAUGUAUAAGUGAUAAAAUUAAACAAAGAAACUAUGGUUCAUUCACAAGAAAAAAGAUCUCAAUAAAAACUUCCCUGAGGAAGUCUACACAUUGGAAUUACUAGUCAAAGACAAGAAAUUUUGGAUUUCUUGUCUUUGAUAUGAAAGAAAUGCUUCUGUCUUGGAUAUGCUUAGGAAAACAAAGAACUAAAGUAAAUCAGGAAGAUGUACACAAACAAAAGGAAAAUAUCAAUAAAAAGAUAGAAAUUAUGAAAAUGAACCAAGCAAAAAUUCUGCACCUGUAAAACACAAUAAUUGAAAUGAACAUUUCAAUAGAGAGGCUCAACAACAGAUUUGAACAGGUAGGAGAAAGGAUCAGCAAACGUGAAGAUAAGGUAGCUGAAAUUAGCAAGUCCAAGCAUCAGGUAUAGCAACAUACACACCAUAAACACAGUCCCAUAAGAAAACAGAAAGUUACCCCCAAAAGACUGAAAGAAAUAAUGGCCAAAAAAUUUCCUAAAUCUGAUGAAGUACAUGAAUACACAGAUUCAGAAAGUUCAAAAAACUCUAAGCAGGAUAAAUUCAAAGAUAGCAGUUACAGUCAAAUUCCUGAAAGACAUUAUAGUCAAGUUGCAGAAAGACAAACUUCUGAAAACAGCAAGAAAGAAGCAAUUAUCAUGUACCAAGCAUCCUCAUAACAGUUGCUAAGACUUCCCUGGUGGUCUAACGGUUAAGACCCUGCCUUUCAAUGCAGGAGACACAGGUUCAAUCCCCAGUCAGAGAACUAAGGUCCCACGUGCCUCAAAGCAACUAAGCCCACAUACCACAAAUACGGAGUGCACAACUAGAGAGAAGUGUGUUCCUAGCAAGAAAGUUCUGAGGCAGCCAAAUAAAUAAAAUUUUUUUAAAGAUAAACAGCUGAAAGGAAAAACACCUUUCAACUAAGACUUCUUUACCCAGCAAACUAUCCUUCAGAAAGAAAGGAGAAAUUAAGAUAUUUCCAGAUAAACAACAGCUGAGAAAAUUCACUACCAGUAGCCCUGCCUUAAAAGAAAUAAAUGCUAAAGGAAGCUCUUGGAGCUGAACGAAGGCACAUGAGAUAGUAACUAGAAGCCAUAAGAAGAAAUAAACACCAGCAAAGGUAACUACGUAGGUAAAGGUAAAAGCCAAUGUUAUCAUUUGGGUUCAUUUGUUGUUGUUUAAUAGCUAAGUCAUGUCCGACUUUUUUUCAUGGGACACCAUGGACUGUAGCCCGCCAGGCUCCUCUGUCCACGGAAUUUCCCAGGCAAAAAUACUAGAAUGGGUUGUCAUUUCCUUCUCCAGAGGAUCUUCCUAACCCAGGGAUCAAACCCAAGGCUCCUGCAUUACAGGCGGGUUCUUUACCACUCAGCCAUCAGGGAAGCGCAUUUUGGUUCAAACACACACACACACACACACACACACACACACACCACACCACACACACACACACCACACACACAGACACACACACCACACACAGACACACACACACACACACACACACACACACACCCCACACAGACACACACACCACACACACACACCACACACACAGACACACACACCACACACACAGACACACACACCACACACAGACACACAGACACACACACACACACACACACACACACACACACGUCGCUCAGUCGUGUCCGAUUCUGUGACCCCAUGGAUUAUAGCCCACCAGGCUCCUCGGUCCAUGGGAUUUUCCAGGCAUGAAUAGAGGAGUGGGUUGCCGUUUCCUUCUCCAGGCGGAUUCUUUACCACUCAGCCACCAGGGAAGCGCAUUUUGGUUCACAACUCCUCCUUUUCUUAUAUAUAUUAUUUAAAAGGCAAAUGCACAAAACAAUCAUCAAAAACCUAUUUUAAAGGGAGGACAAAGUAUAAAGAUGCAGUCCGCGACACUAACAAUAUAAAGAGGAGAGACACGCCUGAGACUAGGCCUGCUCUCCAGGCUGCGCACCGCGAAGGCCCCACUUGGCACUGCAGCCAUGCCUCACAGCCGCCAACGUGACCUGCAUCCACACCGCGUCGCCAGCUCCAGCGACAGCUCCCACGUGCCCAGACCCAGGCCGCAGCUGCUCUGCCAGCACCUUAAGCAUCAGCGACCACCGCAGCCUCGUGGAGUCUGUAGGCACCGACUGAAGCCGCCGCUAUUUUGCCCCGCUGCAGCUUUCUCGCCAACUUUGAUGGACAGUGAGGUCGGUCUGCGGCCACCAGUCAGGGGUGUGUUGAGGGAGUCAACCAAUGGUCGGCGUCGGGAGGAAGGGCCACUAGGCUGGAAGGACAGAACCGCAGGAGAGCGCACAGGUAAAUCAAAUAAAUGCCCCCAAGCUGGGAAUGAAUGGAUGAAACAAAAGGGGAAAAAAAUAAAUGACAAAGGGAGAUUAAAAAAAAACUCCCUCUUGGAAAUUCCCCGGCAGUCCCAUCAUUAGCACUCUGAACUUCCAUUGCAAAGGCCACAGGUUCAAUCUCUGGUUAGGGAACUAACAUCCCACAAGCUAGGUGGGACAUCGCCAAAAAAAAAACCUCCCUGUUUCCAGGAACCUCAAAUUUUGGUGUGAAUGCAAAUCACCUAGAGAAUGUAAGCGUUCAUCUUUACGUCGCGUUACCUAGUAGGCUUCUCUGAGGCUAGGAAAUAUUAGCAAAUACUAAAAUAAAUAGUAGCGAUGCUGAGCCCUUGUUUAUUGAGAAUGAUGGAGAAUUGAGUAGAGAGGUAAGGCUAGAAAGAGCGACAGAGACAGCCAGUAAAAUUGCCCUUUCUUUUAUUACUAUUUUUGUUUACUAUACUUUAAUAACAUUAUAAAAUAAUUUUUAAACUGAUAAGAUAUAUCAAACUUCCCUGGUGGUCCAGUGGUUAAGGCUCUGCACUCCCAGUGCAGGAACACCGCUUCAGUCCCUGGUCCAGAGAGAUCCCACGUGCCUGAAGGGCAACUAAGCCCAUGGUCACAACUACUGAAUCCCAAAGGCCAUAGAGCCUGUGCUUGACAACAAGAGAAGGGCCCUCAAAGAGAAGCCAAGGUAAGUCAACUAGAGAGAAGCUACCGCUCUCCGCAACUAGAGAAACCCCACGGACAGUAAUGAAGACCCAGCACAGCCAUAAAUGGAUAAAUACAAUUUUAAAAGUUAGUAAGAUAUAUUACUAUAAUUCUUCAUAAAAGAAAUGUUCAUUGUAGAAAAUUUAGAAGAGGAAAUCUAGUAUGAGAAAAAAAAAAUGGUGAAAAUCACAGAGAUAUCUAUCCACUGUUAAUGUUUGAAUGUAUUAGCAUCCAGUCUUUAAAAUAUAUUCAGGUGUGUAUAUAUUUUUAUACACAAAUUGUUUGUAUAUUGCUUUCACUUAAUAAUAAUAAUAUAUAUAUUUUCAUAUCAACAAAAGAGAGGGGUAGUGACAGGAAUGUAUAGGAGCAAAAUGUUUUGAUACUAUUGAAAAUGUUAGUACUAGUAAAACUAAGUUGUUUUACGCUUGCUGUGUUAAUUGCAAUGCCCAAGACAACCACUAAGAGAAUAAUUUUUGAAAACAAAAGAAAGAGGAAAAAGAAGGGCAAUAAAAAAUGGUACACUUCAAAAAGUCAGUAAUACCAAAACCAGGCAGUAAUGGAGAAAAGGAGGAACAAAACAGACACAGAAAACAGCCAAAUUGUAGAAGGAAAUUCUUACAUAUCAAUAAUUGUUUUAAAAGCAACCAACGCAGGGGGCCUAGGUCCCAUUCUUAGUCAGAGAACUAAACCAUUCUUAGUCAGAAAACUAGGGAACCACAUGCUGUAACUAAGAAUUCACAUGCUGCAACUAAAAAAAAAAAAAAAAAAUUCCCAAAUGCCACCACUAAGACCUGGCACAGCCAAAUAAAGAAAUAAUAAAAAGUAAAUGGAUUAAACUUUCUUAAAAGGCAGAGGUUGGGAUAUUGAAUGAAGAAACACUGUUCAUCUGUCCACACGAAGAGUUACUUUAGCUACAAAGACACAGAGAGGUUGAGUGUAAAAAGAUAGAAAAAAGAUGUUUCAUCUAAAUAGUACCAAAGGAGGGCUGGAGAGGCUAUAUUAUUGUCAGACAAAAUAGACUUGAAAGUUAAAAAAAAUUACAAAGCACAAAGAAUGUUACAUAUUGGUGAAGGUUCAAUGUGGUAAGAAGAUAUGACAAUUAUAAGCACAUGCAUACCUAACAAAAACAAGACCAAGAGUUAACUGUGGCUCAGAUCAUGAACUCCUUAUUGCAAAAUUCAGACUUAAAUUGAAGAAAGUAGGGAAAACCACUAGACCA